rnacentral:tRNA from 1 species
CAGGGAGACAACAAAAUGUUAAAUAUUAAUUUUGUCACCUUAGGUCGAUCGGUAUCUCACAUUCUUAAUUUAUUAAGGAUUUUAUUUCCUAAGUUUUUUCUAGGUCACACCCAUUACUUUUCCUGGGCCAUUAGCUCAGGUGGUUAGAGCGCACCCCUGAUAAGGGUGAGGUCCCUGGUUCAAGUCCAAGAUGGCCCAUAUCUCUAUGUUGGGGGUAUAGCUCAGUUGGUAGAGCGCCUGCUUUGCAAGCAGGAUGUCAGCGGUUCGAGUCCGCUUACCUCCACUGAUUACCACCUCUUCCAUAUUUAAAAGAAGGGAAAUGUUUUGAGUUGUGAUCAAACCUGAACGAAUCUAGCUUCCUAAUCAGUCUUAAUUAAGAUGCUGGAUUCAUUGAAUUAAAUUCAUUGUUUUCAGAGAACCUUGACAACUGCAUAGAUUUUUUUAAAGACAAUAAGCAUCUUUAAUGAUGCAGAUUUAUUAUUUGUGCGAAUGCAUUAAUAACAAUUCUAUUAAGCUGAUGCUUCAAUUUAUUGAAGUUAUU